rnacentral:hammerhead_ribozyme from 1 species
ACACUACUGAUGAGUCCCACAAUAGGACGAAACGGCCGUUCAGUGC